CCUACGGGGGGCAGCAGUGAGGAAUAUUGGUCAAUGGGCGGAAGCCUGAACCAGCCAAGUCGCGUGAGGGAAUAAGGCCCUACGGGUCGUAAACCUCUUGUGCCGGAGAGUACCCGGAGAAAAAGCAUCGGCUAACUCCGUGCCAGCAGCCGCGGUAAUACGGAGGAUGCGAGCGUUAUCCGGAUUUAUUGGGUUUAAAGGGUGCGUAGGCGGACAGGCAAGUCAGCGGUAAAAAUGCGGUGCUCAACGCCGUACCGCCGUUGAAACUGGCAGUCUUGAGUGGGCGAGAAGUAUGCGGAAUGCGUGGUGUAGCGGUGAAAUGCAUCGCUAUCACGCAGAACUCCGAUUGCGAAGGCAGCAUCCCGGCGCCCUACUGCCGCUGCGGCCCGAAAGCGUGGGUAUCGCACAGGAUUAGCUACCCCAGUAGUC
rnacentral:rRNA from 1 species